AAGUGCCCCGGAAAAGCCUAAACUCGAUUUGAUGGAUUAAUUCAUUUGAUUUGUUAACUUAUAAGACGCUAGAGUGGUUGCAACUUGUAUUAUAUAUGAUGGGGGGCUUGAGCUUAUUUGAUCGGUGAUUCAAGGUUUAUGCUGCUUUUGGCUAUCCGUAUUCCCCAUGCCCCCCAUAGUGCUCCACCCUAUUUCGAAACUAUGUCGAAUUUUUCUUUGAAAGAGCUUUUUGAUUGCGGUUGGGUAGAAAAUAUUAUGUUCUCCAAAAGAAGAAGGGCGUCUUGCCUUCGAUCCCUCCCUACUUGGAACUUCUCUCUUCUUACCAAAUUUAUUUGGUUGCUUCAGUCGGACGAGCACCACUGCUAUUUUGGAUCUCAAAACUUCUGGCAGAGAUUGCCCUCUUAUUGCUCGUAUUUUGUUUGCUACUUAGUCCAGAUUCAAGACAAGCUCAUUCACUGUUUCGGUUCUGCCAAACAGGCCAAAGACCAACUGAACUUUUGGUUUGGGUCGAAUACAAAAGCGCUUUGGGAAAACUCAAAUCAAGAAUCGACUCAUGUUUCUAUAUCUCAAUCUGAUAUGUGACUUGUGCGAGGAACAUCUGAAAAAUAUUGCUCACCUCUUCUUCAUGUGCUCCUUUUCGACUAAAGUUUGGUCUUCUAUUGCGAGUGGCUUCAAGCGCCGAGGGGACUAGGGAUUCUUGCCCAAGCAGCCAAUGGGUUCAUCAAGAACAGCAAUAACAAUUCAGCACUUAUUGAGGCGCUUAGUCCUACCAGCCUCGAUUUUCUAUAGCUCGACAAAACUUGUUAAGUUGCACACUUAAUUGGAAACAGAAGCUAGCUGGUUCUCCCCAAAAUGCGCUGAGAGAUCAUAUGUAAGUUUGUCCUUUUUCUCAUUUGAUUUUGAAAGAGACGGAUGGAUUUAUGAUCGAUGCUGCUCGGAACAACGACAGUUUAUAACCGACUUUAGUUUUUGCCCAGCAGAACUUUUCAGUAAUUGUUGUUCUACGUUCAGGCGUGUGGCUGAUAUUUUAAAACACCAGCUUUUGUCC